rnacentral:rRNA from 1 species
CAUGGUUUUGAUUUGAAAGGCGCUUUCGGGUGUCGCUGAUGGAUGGACCCGCGGUGCAUUAGCUAGUUGGUGAGGUAACGGCUCACCAAGGCCACGAUGCAUAGCCGACCUGAGAGGGUGAUCGGCCACAUUGGGACUGAGACACGGCCCAAACUUAUACGGGAGGCAGCAGUAGGGAAUCUUCGGCAAUGGACGAAAGUCUGACCGAGCAACGCCGCGUGAGUGAAGAAGGUUUUCGGAUCGUAAAACUCUGUUGUUAGAGAAGAACAAGGAUGAGAGUAACUGUUCAUCCCUUGACGGUAUCUAACCAGAAAGCCACGGCUAACUACGUGCCAGCAGCCGCGGUAAUACGUAGGUGGCAAGCGUUGUCCGGAUUUAUUGGGCGUAAAGCGAGCGCAGGCGGUUUCUUAAGUCUGAUGUGAAAGCCCCCGGCUCAACCGGGGAGGGUCAUUGGAAACUGGGAGACUUGAGUGAGAAAGAGGAGAGUGGAAUUCCAUGUGUAGCGGUGAAAUGCGUAGAUAUAUGGAGGAACACCAGUGGCGAAGGCGGCUCUCUGGUCUGUAACUGACGCUGAGGCUCGAAAGCGUGGGGAGCAAACAGGAUUAGAUACCCUGGUAGUCCACGCCGUAAACG